CUACGGCCUCAGAUCAGACGUUGUGACCCACUGAAUUUAAGCAUAUUACUAAGCGGAGGAAAAGAAACUAACCAGGAUUCCCUCUCUAAUGGCGAGUGAAAAGGGAAGAGCCCAGCGCUGAAUUCCCGUUUAGCGGCAGGUGUGUGAAAUGUGGCAUACAGAAGACAGACUUCCCAGUGUUGCUCAGGGGGCUCAAGUCCUUCUGAUCGAGUCUCACCCCGCAGAUGCUGUUAGGCUGGUAGCGGCCUCCAGCACGCCGGGAUGGGGUCUUCUCAGAGUCGGGUUGCUUGGGAAUGCAGCCCAAAGCGGGUGGUAAACUCCAUCUAAGACUAAAUACGGGCGCAAGACCGAUGGCCAACAAGCACUGUAAGAGGAAAGUUGAAAAGAACUUGGAAGAGAGAGUUCAAGAAGGCAUGAAACUGUGGAGAGGUAAACGGGUGGAGUCUGCAGUCCUUCCGCAGUAUUCAACACGGCGGUCGCCUGGAACAGUGGAUGCCCUUGCAGGACUGCCGCCCGCGCACACCUGGCCCCCGCAGGGCUCAUUUCCUCUGUGGCGGUGCACCGUGACUGGCUGUGGGUCGGCUGGAAAGGUCCCAGGGGACAGGUGGCUCUCUGCUCCCGCAGAGAGUGUUACCGCCCCCGGACAGCAGUUUUGCUGUGUCCGCGGGGCCGAGGGAGAUUGACCGCCACGCCCUUCUACGGCAACCGUCCCGGCCCCUCUUGGUGGUCGCCGGGGAGGAGACGGGGCUUCCCGAUUCGACUGUCUACUCUGGUGUACUACCCUUAGUGCACCCUGACCAGGUUGCGCCGCUGGGCAGGGAGGCCCGCGAAGGCCCCAGGGUUCUGAGGUGAUGUCGUUACCCACCUGACACAUCUUGAAAACACAGACCAAGGAGUCUAACAUGUGCGUGAGUCGGAGUGCCGAACGAACCUUGUGGCGCAAUGAAGGUGAGGGCCUGGCGUGUGCCGGCUGGGGUGGGAUCCCGUCGCGGUGGCCGUGCCAACGGCACGUCUCGAGCAUGAGCGUGUGUGAUAGGACCCGUAUGAUGGAAAUUGAUGCCUGGGCAGGGCGAAGCCAUAGCAAACUCUGGUGAAGGUCCGUAGUGAUGCUGACGUGCAAAUCGGUCGUCCCACUUGGGUAUAGGGGCAAAAGACUAAUCGUACCAUCUAGUAGCUGGUUUCCUCCAAAGUUUCCCUCCGUAUAGCUGGUGCACGGAAACCCCGGUUUUAUCUGGUAAAGUGAAUGAUUAGAGGUCUUGGGGCCGAAAUGAUCUCAACCUAUUCUCAAACUUUAAAUGGGUAAGAAGCCCGGCUCGCUGGCUUGGACCCGGGCAUCUAAUGCAAGUGCCCAGUGGGCCACUUUUGGUAAGCAGACCUUGACGCUGUGGGAUGAACCGAACGCUGGGUUAAGGCUCCUGAUGCCAAUGCUCAUCAGACCCCAGAAAAGGUGUUGUUGAUAUAGACUGUAGGCGGUGGCCAUAGAAGUCGGAAUCCGCUAAGGAGUGCGUAACAACUCACCUGCCAAAUCAACUAGCCCUGAAAAUGGAUGGCGCUGGAGCGUCUGGCUCAUACCGGCCGGUGCUGAGAGCCGCGGGGACUAAGCCGCGACGAGUAGGAGGGCGUGUGGUGCGCGCGGAAGUCCGGGCAAGGCCCGGAUGGAGCUGCUGCAGGGGCAGGUCUUGAUGGUAGUAGCAAAUAUUCAAACAAGAACUUUGAAGGCCGAAGUGGAGAAGGGUUCCAUGUGAACAGCAGUUGAACAUGGGUCAGUCAGUCCUAAGAAAUGGUCGAACGCUGUUCGGAAGGGAUUGGCGAUGGCCUCCGUUGCCCUCAGCCGAUCGAAAGGGAGUCUGGUUCAGAUUCGAACCCGCAGCGGCGGAGACGGGCGGCGUCCAGUGCGGUAACGCAAACGAUCCCGGAGAAGUUGGCGGGAUCCCUGGGGAGUGUUAUGUUUUUUUGUGAAGGACAGGGCACCCUGGAAUGGUUUGCCCCGAGAGAGGGGCCCGAGCCUUGGAAAGCAUUGCGGUUCUGGCAGCAUCCGGUGAGCUCUCGCUGGUCCUUGAAAAUCCAGGGGAGGUGGUGUAAAUCUUGCGCCGGGACGUGCACAUAUCCGCAGCAGUUCUCCAAGGUGAACAGCCUCUGGCAUGUUGGAACAAUGUAGCUAAGGGAAGUUGGCAAAUCGGAUCCGUAACUUCGGGAAGGGCUGGGUCAGUCGGGCUGGGGUGCGAAGCCCCCGGUGGCAUUGCCGACUCUGGAUGUGAACGGGCCCUUCCUGUGGAUCGCCCCAGCUGCGGUGGUCGCCUCUCUCCAUUCCCCUCCCAGGGUUCGGGAUCAGUGUUUUGCCUCGGCCGACGCGUAGCAGCUAACUUAGAACUGGUGCGGACCAGGGAAAUCUAACUGUUAAAUUAAAACUAAGCAUCACAUUAGGUCCAUGGUGGGUGUUGUCGCAAUGUGAUUUCUGCACAGUGCUCUGAAUGUCAAAGUUAAGAAAUUCAAUGAAGCGUGGGGAAACGGCGAGAGUAACUAUGACUCUCUUAAGGUAGCCAAAGGCCUCGUCAUUUAAUUAGUGACGCACACAAAUGGAUGAACAAGAUUCCCACUGUCCCUACCUAAUAUCUAGUGACACCACAGCCAAGAGAACAGGCCUGGUAGUAUCAGUGGGGUCUGGCACUGUGAAGAGACAUGAGAGAUGUAGGAUAAGUGGGAGGUCCUCAGGCCGCUGGUGAAAUAAUACUACUUUUUUCACUUGCACAGUGAGGCGGGGGUGAGCACUGUGGGACUCUCACUUCUGGCUCCAACAGCCCGGCGUGUCCCGCUUCAGGGACAGUGGCAGGUGGGGAGUUUGACUGGGGCGGUUCACCUGGCAAACCAUAAUGCAGAUGUCAGGGAGGGUAGAAACCUCCCACGAUGCAGAAGGGCAAAAGCUUGCUUGAUCUCGAUUUUCAAUAUGACUACAGACCGCGAAAGCGAGGCCUUGGGAUCCUUCUGACUUUUUGGGUUUCAAGCAGGAGGUGUCAGAAAAGUUACCACUGGGAUAACUGGCUUGUGAUGACCAAGCGUUCAGAGCGACGUCGCUUUUUGAUCCUUCGAUGUCGGCUCUUCCUAUCAUUGUGAAACAGAAUUCACCAAGCGUUGGAUUGUUCACCCACUAAUAAGGAACAUGAGCUGGAUUGAGACAGUCGUUUUACCCUACUGAUGAUGUGUUGUUGCAAUAGUAAUCCUGCUCAAUAGAGAGGAACCGCAGGUUCAGGCAGUUGGUCUAUGUGUUUGGCUGAGGAGCUGUUGGGCAGAAUUCUGUGCAAUGUCCUUAGGGACCACUACACACAAUUAAGACUA
rnacentral:rRNA from 1 species